AUUGAACGCUGGCGGCAGGCCUAACACAUGCAAGUCGAGCGGAUGAAGGGAGCUUGCUCCUGGAUUCAGCGGCGGACGGGUGAGUAAUGCCUAGGAAUCUGCCUGGUAGUGGGGGAUAACGUCCGGAAACGGGCGCUAAUACCGCAUACGUCCUGAGGGGGAAAGUGGGGGAUCUUCGGACCUCACGCUAUCAGAUGAGCCUAGGUCGGAUUAGCUAGUUGGUGGGGUAAAGGCCUACCAAGGCGACGAUCCGUAACUGGUCUGAGAGGAUGAUCAGUCACACUGGAACUGAGACACGGUCCAGACUCCUACGAGAGGCAGCAGUGGGGAAUAUUGGACAAUGGGCGAAAGCCUGAUCCAGCCAUGCCGCGUGUGUGAAGAAGGUCUUCGGAUUGUAAAGCACUUUAAGUUGGGAGGAAGGGCAGUAAGUUAAUACCUUGCUGUUUUGACGUUACCAACAGAAUAAGCACCGGCUAACUUCGUG
rnacentral:rRNA from 1 species